UAUGUAGGGGGCUAGCGUUGUCCGGAAUCAUUGGGCGUAAAGAGCGUGUAGGCGGCCCGGUAAGUCCGCUGUAAAAGUCAAAGGCUCAACCUUUGAAUGUCAGUGGAUACUGCCGGGCUAGAGUCCGGAAGAGGCGAGUGGAACUCCUGGUGUAGCGGUGGAAUGCGCAGAUAUCAGGAAGAACACCAACGGCGAAGGCAGCCCCCUGGGCUAACACUGACGCUCAUGCACGAAAGCGUGGGGAGCAAACAGG
rnacentral:rRNA from 1 species